rnacentral:rRNA from 1 species
UUCUACGGCCAUGCCACCCUGCUGUGCAUGCCCAAUCUCGUCUGAUCUCGGAAGCUAAGCAGGGUCGGGCCUGGUUAGCACUUGGAUGGGAGACCACCCGGGAAUACCAGGUGCUGUAGAUG